rnacentral:rRNA from 1 species
UACAGAGGGGGCAAGCGUUGUUCGGAAUUACUGGGCGUAAAGGGCGCGUAGGCGGUUCGCUAAGUUGAAUGUGAAAACUCUGGGCUUAACCCAGAGCCUGCAUUCAAUACUGGCGGGCUAGAGUUCUGGAGGGGAUAGCGGAAUUCCUGGUGUAGCGGUGAAAUGCGUAGAUAUCAGGAGGAACACCGGUGGCGAAGGCGGCUAUCUGGACAGAGUCUGACGCUGAGGCGCGAAAGCUAGGGGAGCAAACAGG